CAACACGGCUUCCCUGGACGCGAUGAUUGUACCCCGUGCUCCCUGCUCCAGAUCUGGGUAAGUCUGUUGUUGCACAUCCAGUAAACUCCUGCUCCUCCUCGUCUGACGUGACAGCAUCGGCCUCCUCCUCUCCGUUUUGUCCAAGCCAGUUGAUCCAUUUUUCUGUGCUUGAAUCUGCCAUAUCAAGGAUCCUUUGUUGAAGCUGCAGCCACACUGGUUUUGUUUCUCAUCUUUAGAAGUCUUUGUAGUGGAAGGAAGGGCAAGGCAAAACCUGUCUCAGGUACCUUGUUGUUUGGAACAUGUCAUCCCUUGAGCUCGGCACCUGUUCGCAUAUGCCCUGUUCGAAGAGUGAGUCAGUGCGUGUCCGUGCUCUGUUUUACGCGUGUGUGUGUGUGUUUUGGUUCAGGUGCAAGCCCAUGGAUGCUGAAGACUAUGAGGAGUACAUACCUCUUCUUUAUGAAGUUCUCGCAGGUCAGCAACAUGAGGGCAAAAAGGGCAGGACCUCGUUAAGAAUGUCGUCCUAGUGGGCACAAGGUCGAACAUGAAGCUACCAGGAACACCGAGUUAUCCUCUGUUAGCUUGGAGGAUGGUGCUAUGGGCGACCACGUCGGCAAUGGCAACAGCGAAGGCAACAAUGAUGUUGAGAACAUGGUGGUAGCCUAAGGUGACUUAGAAACUUAUGAAGGUGUAGAUGAUGCUCCAGAUCAUGAACCAGUGGACUUAGAAACAUGAGUCUUAUUGUUUUGGGUGGCGGUGGCAUGUAUGCGUACAACUGACAUGUUACUGCUGUUGAGCAAAUAAAAC